UGAUAUGUUUGAUAUUUGGUUG
rnacentral:miRNA from 1 species